rnacentral:rRNA from 1 species
UGGGGAAUAUUGCACAAUGGGCGAAAGCCUGAUGCAGCCAUACCGCGUGGGUGAAGAAGGCCUUAGGGUUGUAAAGCCCUUUCAGUUGGGAAGAAAGGUUCAGGAUUAAUAGUCCUGUUUUUUGACGGUACCGACAGAAGAAGCACCGGCUAACUCCGUGCCAGCAGCCGCGGUAAUACGGAGGGUGCGAGCGUUAAUCGGAAUUACUGGGCGUAAAGCGCGCGUAGGCGGCUUAGCCAGUCAGAUGUGAAAUCCCCGGGCUUAACCUGGGAACUGCAUUUGAAACUACUAAGCUAGAGUGUGGUAGAGGGAAGUGGAAUUCCGAGUGGAGCGGUGAAAUGCGUAGAGAUUCGGAGGAACACCAGUGGCGAAGGCGACUUCCUGGACCAACACUGACGCUGAGGUGCGAAAGCGUGGGGAGCAAACAGG